CAAUCUGAAUCAGGCCCAGAGUGUUUUAUUAUUUCUCUAUCACCCUGCAAUGUCCGCUGUUCACGUUUAUAUGCGGUCACCGGGCUGCCACAUUUGAUUGACUCUGUCACACUUAUUAGCUUAAGAUCGGAUCAAUGGAAUGGAUGACAGACCAAACUAAUCAUGUGGAGGGUGUCUGUACAAUGAUUGCAUUUAUGGAGAACCCUUGAUGAACAUGUGAGUAUCAUGCAGCACAGUAACAUGAGUUAUUGUAUAAUUACACGUUCAUUUUAUUUCAUCAGGGAGCCCCUGAAUAGUAAAGUCACUGCCUCGCAGUUAGCUUCAACAUUUUGAGACCAGGGUUUAAAUCCUAAAUGAAAAGUGCCCAAGUCCCCUCCCCAACGUGAACUGAGAUUAAUCUAACUAUAACAACAACAGAAAUCACAGUAGAAAGAUUUUUUUGAAUUGUUUGUUGGUACCAAGCUAAUGGCGAUUUACAAUCCCUUCAAUGAAAUGACCUUGAUCUAGCCUUGAAGAAAGUAUUUGCUAUUACGUUUUAUUCUGUUUAAAUGAACAUAUUUAUAUGCUGGUGUAAUAUAAUAGAAGAGAUAUAAUUGAAUACAUAGUAUUAUGUUAUUUCUAUUUUACUGAGAUAAAUCUGCUGAAAACUGUAUAUAGGCUACUCGAUGUUGGCCUGGAUACAGUAAAGAUCUGUCCAACAUAUUUCUGCUUUCAGUUGAAGCAGUAAAAAAGUUUGUUUAAGGCCAAAAUGCAAUUCAUAUUGACAUUGAUUUGCAUAUUUCCGUGAAAAAUUACAAAAAAUACAUACCAAAAAAUCGCAGGUGUGAUCAAUUAAUUGUGAGCAAAUUCAAACAAGUGACACCAAUCUAAAAGGGUCUAGAAAAACCAGACAAAAAAAUAAAAAAAAAACAGUUCAAAUAUGCGCACUGUACACAAGAGCAAUGCUAAAAAGGACACAAUCCGUUUCGAGAGCCCGGCUCAAUUGAAGCAGACAGUGUUGGUAUUUCAGCCUGUCGUCUCCCCCGGAGGAAAUUGCCAGGCGGCGAUAUUCCCUGAAGCCCAGUGCACCGAGUCAAUUACCUUAUUGGGUUAGGUGCCGUAAUGGCCUCUGAAGGGCAAUAGAAAUUAGGCGUUGCACUUACACGGAGGUGGGCUGGAACAAUCGGUAAAUGAUUGCUGCAUUACGUUACCCUUCCCUCCCUUCGAAUCCACUCAUAAAACACGAGGAAAAUCCAUUGUGAUGCUCUCACGUCGCCCGAGCCUUCAUUCCAAUCUAGUUGUGAUGAAUAAACUAGGCACGUCCAUUAAUGUCACGUAAUCACAUACUUCCGCUGGCCUUCCGUGUAGCCAUCGCUCACGAGGAACCCUGUGAUGAGUCACAAGUAAAACUGUACAUGUUAGAGGAUUAUAAAUAUACAUAGAUAAUGAGUUCCAUUUGUCCUCCGAGGGUGACUUAGUGAUGGCUGUUUUCUAGACCUUCAACUGAACAUGUAUGACUGAGUCGUGUAACGCCAGUACUGUAGAGGAAGAUUCUCUUUGACAGAUACGAUAGCGAUUGUGUUCCCAAAGUGCACCGGUGUUUUUCUAGAUUAUUAAGGGGUUUUUGUGAUGUGCCAUUUCUGCCUGGGGCAAAGCAAGAAUUGUCCCCUACGUUAGCUAAUUUCCAUCAAAUUGCACUAUAUUACCUCAAUUCAGAGACGCUGAAUAUCUGUGAGCUUUUCAUUUGAUUUCCCCCUGUUUAUUUCAUCAGCAAUAUACAAACAAUUAUUUUUCUUCCUAUUGAGCUUCGGGGCUUUCGACUGUUUGGAAAAAUUGCAUCCAUCGUGAUGACUAAGUAUCGAACAUGGACUCAGGGGAGAAUAGGCCCUCGAGUGGCAAGAGACAUUGGGACCACUGAAGGCUUCCAGACUUAAAGGGAUUUCAGGGCCUGAAUUAGUGGAGGAAGCAAGCAAAUGAAUGUCAACAGCUUACCUGGUGGUGGACCUCCCGAAGUUCUCCCAAGCCACCUUGCCUCUUCACCAUUCCCCUGGCGUCCAGUUCAACUUUGUGUCCAAGCGCCGUGUCCACUUUCUGUGGAGCAGGGAGGGAAACUGCUCCUACUUACCUUCACAUCACACUCAAACACCAACACCUCAGUUCCCAGGUGAGCGGUAAGUAGUUCCUGUGAAGAAGAUGUGGGAAAGAAAAUGGACGCUGACCUCCUGGGCAGUAACACCUCCUGUGUUGCUGUUAUUUUUGCAUGAUUUGAAUGUGUUCCUGGGCAACACAGGGGACACCUAAGAAGAUGAAGAUGUGAAACCAUGCCCUCCAUUUAUUAAAUUACCUGUCGUUUCGCGUCGCCCCCUGACGUGCACGCAAGCCGGGUCAAGGUUACAGCAGAGUCGGCUGGAGCAGUCUGCCAGUCCUUCCUGGGAAAAUGAGCCUCUGGUGACACGUGAGCGAGUCGCGGCAAUUACACGGAAAUGCCAAGACAAAUCUAUGGGCAACUAUGCCGUCAUAAAAGCACUGCACUGAAAACGAGCGGCUUGACUUGAAAUGUGCUGCGGUUCAAUGAGAACACUGGAACGUGGCCAAUGGCGGCAGACCAGUGGAAGGCAUCGGAAAACGCGUGCCGGGUCGCGUGUCGGAUCCGGUGAAUGCCACAGUGCCGGGCUGUGAGUGGAGCGCUCUUAAUGACGGCUACUGACGCAUUUGUUCUCCAUUCAUCAAAAUUGCACGUGUACACUUUGGCUGCUGGAGUUGUUCUGUGAAUGUGUCAGCAUGCACGGGCCGCAGCAGACGAAAAGUGCCGCGGUGAAGUGAUUGUCUGACAGUCACAUGAAAACAUCAUGAUCGGUCAUGUAUAUGCCACACUCUGAGGUAAUAGGCGGUUGGCGUUCAAGUGUGUGACGAAGACCAGACAAACACAGAUCACAGGCUAAUAAACAAAGAAAUAGGCCUGUGUAAUCCAGCAUGACAGAUUCAAUGUUAUUCCAUCAUUUUAACAAUAUAUAUAAUUUUGCUGUAGCAAGCCUCACCCUGGUUUGACAUAUAUUGGAGUUCAUAUAUGUGUGUGUGUAAAUUGUAUGUACCGUGUACUGUGUAUGGUCCAGAUUAUUAUUAUGAAAAUGAAGGGACACUUAUAAUGAUGCCAUUUGCUUAAACUGUACUGAAUACAGUAUUUGCUCAGGUUGUGCGAUUGAGU